rnacentral:misc_RNA from 1 species
CCUUUCGAGUGGACAGUUUUGUGGAAAGAGCCUGCGUGACCCUGGCCACGGGGUUUCGGGACACGUGUUCGAUGGGACGAGAAAAAGACAAAGAGACGCUAAGGGUAGUGUUAGUUGAGACGCCAGCGAGAACGAAUGCAAAAGGCGUGCAGUAUGAGUUGAGAAGCGAGAGCGUGCGAGUGCAGAUGCCGAAGACGAGAGUUGUAGAGUUGCUAGCUUGUUAGAGUUAUAGAGUUGCGAGAGUGAUUUGAACGGAAUAAGACUUUUGUGUUUUAGUUCAAGUUGAACAUUUAUCGUUCUCUGUCCAAUUAAUCUCUGUUAUUUUUAUUUAUCUUAAUAAAUAGUAUUAGGAGAAUUUUACAAAUCUAAAUCAUCCUAAUCCUAUCCUUUUUCCGAUACUACAAUAC